rnacentral:rRNA from 1 species
GUCUUAAUUGGGCGUUAAGUUGCAGGGUAUAGACCCGAAACCCGGUGAUCUAGCCAUGGGCAGGUUGAAGGUUGGGUAACACUAACUGGAGGACCGAACCGACUAAUGUUGAAAAAUUAGCGGAUGACCUGUGGCUGGGGGUGAAAGGCCAAUCAAACCGGGAGAUAGCUGGUUCUCCCCGAAAGCUAUUUAGGUAGCGCCUCGUGAAUUCAUCUCCGGGGGUAGAGCACUGUUUCGGCUAGGGGGCCAUCCCGGCUUACCAACCCGAUGCAAACUGCGAAUACCGGAGAAUGUUAUCACGGGAGACACACGGCGGGUGCUAACGUCCGUCGUGAAGAGGGAAACAACCCAGACCGCCAGCUAAGGUCCCAAAGUCAUGGUUAAGUGGGAAACGAUGUGGGAAGGCCCAGACAGCCAGGAUGUUGGCUUAGAAGCAGCCAUCAUUUAAAGAAAGCGUAAUAGCUCACUGGUCGAGUCGGCCUGCGCGGAAGAUGUAACGGGGCUAAACCAUGCACCGAAGCUGCGGCAGCGACACUGUGUGUUGUUGGGUAGGGGAGCGUUCUGUAAGCCUGCGAAGGUGGCCUGUGAGGGUUGCUGGAGGUAUCAGAAGUGCGAAUGCUGACAUAAGUAACGAUAAAGCGGGUGAAAAGCCCGCUCGCCGGAAGACCAAGGGUUCCUGUCCAACGUUAAUCGGGGCAGGGUGAGUCGACCCCUAAGGCGAGGCCGAAAGGCGUAGUCGAUGGGAAACGGGUUAAUAUUCCCGUACUUGGUGUUACUGCGAAGGGGGGACGGAGAAGGCUAUGUUGGCCGGGCGACGGUUGUCCCGGUUUAAGCGUGUAGGUGUGUGUUCCAGGUAAAUCCGGUUCACUUUAACACUGAGGCGUGACGACGAGGCACUACGGUGCUGAAGCAACAAAUGCCCUGCUUCCAGGAAAAGCCUCUAAGCAUCAGGUAACAUCAAAUCGUACCCCAAACCGACACAGGUGGUCAGGUAGAGAAUACCAAGGCGCUUGAGAGAACUCGGGUGAAGGAACUAGGCAAAAUGGUGCCGUAACUUCGGGAGAAGGCACGCUGACACGUAGGUGAAGUGAUUUACUCAUGGAGCUGAAGUCAGUCGAAGAUACCAGCUGGCUGCAACUGUUUAUUAAAAACACAGCACUGUGCAAACACGAAAGUGGACGUAUACGGUGUGACGCCUGCCCGGUGCCGGAAGGUUAAUUGAUGGGGUCAGCGCAAGCGAAGCUCCUGAUCGAAGCCCCGGUAAACGGCGGCCGUAACUAUAACGGUCCUAAGGUAGCGAAAUUCCUUGUCGGGUAAGUUCCGACCUGCACGAAUGGCGUAAUGAUGGCCAGGCUGUCUCCACCCGAGACUCAGUGAAAUUGAACUCGCUGUGAAGAUGCAGUGUACCCGCGGCAAGACGGAAAGACCCCGUGAACCUUUACUAUAGCUUGACACUGAACAUUGAGCCUUGAUGUGUAG